rnacentral:rRNA from 1 species
UACGUAGGUGGCGAGCGUUGUCCGGAUCUACUGGGCGUAAAGGGAGCGUAGGCGGACUUUUAAGUGAGAUGUGAAAUACUCGGGCUCAACUUGAGUGCUGCAUUUCAAACUGGAAGUCUAGAGUGCAGGAGAGGAGAAUGGAAUUCCUAGUGUAGCGGUGAAAUGCGUAGAGAUUAGGAAGAACACCAGUGGCGAAGGCGACUCUCUGGACUGUGACUGACGCUGAGGCUCGAAAGCGUGGGGAGCAAACAGG